GAAUACAGCCGCAGCGUACCAUUAUCGUCGGCUUUUCCGCUCCAAGUUCACAUAAAGAUCGGUCGUCGCCGACACAUACGUUCAGUGUUUCUCGGCACGUUGGUUCUGAGUCCGAAUCAAGAUGAAGGGACGCGUGCUGGUCUUCGCUGUUGUGGUGUUUCUGGGAGUGUGGGCUUCUGAGGUGGAAGCAGCGUGCCCGAGCAAGGGGGCUCUGCUCGGUCCCUGCUCUCCUCGUAGAUGCUCUCCACGUCGGUGCGCCGCUCAGGGACUCGAAUGUUGCCCCAAUCGAUGCGGCGGAUCACAGUGCGUUCCAAGUGUACUUGGGCCUUCCAUCGGCCACAACCCUUCGUCCUGCCCCGUGCUCGAACCACCGAAGGAAGGAUGCCAGCCACGCCAAAGCAGCAUCUCUUGCGCAAACGUGUUCUGCGUGGGGCAGUGCUGCCACGACCCCUGUGGAAAUCCCCGUUGCGUCCCUCAUCCCGGCGGAGGAGUCUGAGAAUAAACUGCUCGAAUACUCA